rnacentral:misc_RNA from 1 species
UUUUAAAAGCAUCAAGUUAAAUCCAUCUGUUGAUUAAAAUACCAUGAAAGGUCUGAACAUCAUCACUUCUAUUUUACAAAAAGAAGACGGUGAUUGACCUGUAACAAAAAAACAUGAUGCAUUUUUACACUUGGACCAGAACAGGCCUGAGUAAAACUUGAAAAUCCUACACCUGAUUAGACCACUUCUUUGAAAAUCCUACAUAUCUUAAGUUAUCAAGAGCGACAGAAUCGAUUAGAAUUACACAACAGUACGACUAAUUUGUUGAUAAUAACUGCAUAUCACAAUUCCAUUCCUUUCCCAAAUUCUUCAGCCGUUUUUGUCUGUGAAAGUGGAAAAUGAUGCUCAAAGAAGUCUCGCUUCCACGGCCUCAAAAUGCCUGUCAAUAACGAGGAAAAAAUGAAAAUAAAAAAUUAAUUAGAAGGUAAAUUAAUUGGAAUGAUUUCCAAUCAAAUUGAGAAUAGCCACAGAUCUACCAAACUCAAGACUCCAGGGGGACAGCCCAGGAACUUGAAAAUUGGAAUGUCCAUCUUAGGUCUCUUUAAUUUAAUUUGGAUAUUCUUUACUAUUUAGAAAGCAAAUCCACGAGAUUCAGCUACUAUGUUUAAAAAGCAAAUGCAGAAAAUCUAUCAACCACCACAUAGAUAAACUCACACUGACAACUUCCCACCAGAGAUUGACAUAUGCCUUUUCACUUUAUCUGGUUGCAACUGCAUUAGAAAAAGUUUUUUUGUUUUUCUUUUAAAAAAAAGAAAAUAGAGUCUUGCAAAAGAACAAUCAAUGGAGCAAUUGAAGCAUUCUCCUCAGACUCAAAAUCCACUUCCAAGUCACAGCAGUGAUUAUUUAUUUACAUCAAACAAUGUCAUAAAGAAAUUCUGGAAGGUAAUGAACUAUAUCUUACUAUUGUAGUACAGCACCAACCACAUCUCACCAUAUGCUUUGUUGAACAUUUCAACAUGGAGUUUCUAUCUAUGAGAGUUCAUUUUUCAAAGUCAUCAACAUUAUUUUGAUAUUCUCAUGGUUUUAGCACUGAUAAUUCACAUCUCUGACCUUCCCUGAAUAAUUAUUAUUGAACAGCAAGUGCUAAGGAAACACUGGUCUAGAAUCUGAGAAUUAUUGUGAAAAUAUAAUGAAGUUCUGAUAUAAUAAAUUCUAGGCCAUACUAAACAUUUAAAUCGCCUCUGACAAUGUCCAAGGGCUACACUGAUUAGCUCAUAAUCCCUGUAUAGUUGUCACUACAAAUUUAAAACCACAUAUUCAAUUUUGUGACACUGUAACAUCCCAAAAUGAGAUUGUUCUUGAAAGCCUCAGGACUUACCCUAAAAUCAUUCAAAUAGCCACAAAAUUGCUUCACCGAUCACAUUUUGACACCAAAUCACAAUGGAAAACUCAAACACAGAAAGCAGAAGUUACACAUUUUUAGCAUUUUCUAGUUUCAAUUCUACUCUUCUAAGCAACUUAUCGCAGUCCUAAACAUAUGAUGUAACCCCACAAGGCACAAGUGAGAAUUACUUCAUAAAAAAGAACAUAUCAUCAAAGAUUAUUUCUCUCAAUCAAUUAAAGGCAACAUACCUCUAAUUCAUCCACUAAAUAAUUUUAAAAAAAUAACAAAUUAAAACGGGUAAAUUAGGCCAUUUGAUAAUUGCAUCAAUGAUAAGUGAUGAUGAAGAAAAACGCUGAGCAAGGCCGCCCAAUUUGAUGCGUCGUCAACAACACCUUUCAUUCCUUGUGUUUUGUAAUGUUGCUGCAAACCUUCUGCAGUGCCUUGUUUAGUCGCGUGAAAGCUGAAACAAUCAAUUCUUCUUGUAAAAGAUUGUACAUCCCAGAGUGAACACUUUCGAUGCAAUUUGGAGCCAAAAGAAAAUUGAAGAGUUAACAGAGGAGGAGGCCAUGUCGGCAAUGUGGUGGAGAAAGAAGGGAGCACCAAAUUGAAAUCGAUCCAGGCUUUUUAUUUCAU